rnacentral:lncRNA from 1 species
UUGACUUUCAUCAAUUGUUCCUGCCAGCUAUUUCGAUGAAAUAAAUGGAAUGUCGCUUAACAGGCAGAUGCUUUGAUACAUUUUCUUCUUAAAGGAUCUGAUUCCUGGCGUCCAAAGGAAACUGGAAUUUAAGAAAAUAACAGAAUGCGGAAUCUCAACAGUUGUUUUAAUGGUGGCUAGUUCGUCCCGUUCCAGAAGGCACAAUCCUUCGCCAUGGGAUUUUGCUGCUCCCAUCCAGACGUGGAAUCUCUUCUCCACCCCCUGUAAUGCGGGCUGGCUUUUGUGACUGACUUUGACAAAUUUGAUAUAGUGGAACUGAUGUUUUCUAGUUCUGGAAUUGAGGCCUCAAGAAGCUUUGUGGCUGCCACCUUUGUCCUCUUGGAACGCCAUGCCACGCAGAAGCCCGGGAUGAAAGGUCAGGAGGAAGACGGAGGGACGCAGCUGUCUCUGCUGUUCCGAGUCCAGCUCCCCGCACCCCACUGAAUGCCGUCACACACAUGAGCCCAGGCAAAGUUGGCACAAAAAGCACACAGCCAACAGAGUCAUGAAAAAUAAAAAAAAA